UUUAAUGUCAGACACUGAAUUUUCUUGCACCAAGUUGGUUAAGUAAAUGACAGUGAUCAUUAUCUGUUUGCUAUGUUAUUACAUGAAAAACUCCAUUUAAAGCUGGAAUUUACGCAUGUGAUUUGUUGUAAUUAGACCACAGGCUAGAGGAAAAGAAAGUUGACUGACAAAAGGGUCUUGAUUAAGUUUUCUUUUUUGUCAUCUUUCACAUAAUAAUGCAAUUUUUUUUUCAUCAAUAUGGACAAACGUGCACUUGUAACCAAAGUUAAAGGUGAUGAAACCAUCAGAAAAAUCCCAGCGAACCCUUUUGAUCUCUCUCUCUCCUUUCUCUAUUGUUUACUCUCUUCUCUGUAUAUCAUGUUCUUUACCAUCCAAUCCAAAGAUGAAACUUAUAUCUUCUUAUGGCUUUUGCUUUACCAUCUAAAGAUAUGUAAUAUAUGCAUACGAUUAAUUGCUCAGCUUUACUGUUUAAUUACUUGCUUGUGCAACUGUGUUUGGGUUAGUGCUGUCCUCAUUUUCAUUAUAUAAUGGGAUACAUCAUUUUAUGCUUAACUCAACUCUUAAAUCGAAAAUCUUAAGGUAAUAAAAACCAUAGGGGAAAUAAUCAUCUGGGGUUGUCAGAAAAAUGAGCAAGCUUGAUUUUUUUUCGUUCUCUUUUGGGUUUCUUUGGUGAUUAGUAGUGAUGUCGUUUGUUGUAGUUAUGUGAAAUACGACACUGAAAGUGUUGUCGUUGAAUGUUCAUUUAGUUCCUUCCUCAUUGUCAUGACGAUGUGGGUUGGGAUCCAGUAACAGCAUUCAAGUAUUAUUGUCACUUAACUUACCAUUGAUUCUUAUAAUAUUUGACAGUAAUUUUUGUUACUGACAAAUCAUUGCUCAAACCAUCAUUCUGUAUAGGCUAAUCAUGUGGACAAUGGGUGAUGAUUUUCAGUAUCAGUACGGAAAAGUUGAUUCACUAUGUCAACAAGGACGGACAGGUGGGUUAAUGUGAUGUAUUCAACACCAUCUAAGUGCAGGGAUGCAAAAUCUGCAGCAAAUGAGACUUGGCCAUUGAAAACUGAUGACUAUUUUCCGUUUUUGUGGCAUAUAAACCCUCUUGGUUGCUCGGUCUUCAUUGUACUCUCUUAAAUGUGGUCUGAGAAUCAUAAUUUUCUACAGAUUACAAGGCUUUACAAGGACAAAGAACAUGCUGAAGUUGAAUUCACAUCUCUGCGUGUCUUCUACAGAUGGUGGAAUGCGGCUUGGGGACAUUGGCAAAAAUCUGCUCAUCAAGCAGCAAUACAUCUUGAGGAGUAAAGAAGUAAUUUUUUAUUGUCAAGAGAGACUUUCUGCUGCAACGAGGCACGCAGAAUCGGUUGCAGUGCUUACUCAUGAACUUGGAAAGAAAUUUCUUGAGGAGAGUUGACUUUCCACCAUUGAGAAACCUUGCUGCUAAGAUAAACGAGACAUUUGGUCUUAACUUCAAAGAGAUGGCACAUUGUUUAGAUCUUAAUAAAUAAAGUAUUUUAUUAAUUGAGUUUCCUUUUGCCCACUUACCUAUUUGUUUAAUUUUUUCUUCUUCUUCUUCCCAAAGGAGUACGACAUGGACUAUGACUAGUUUGGUAUACUGAUAAAAGAAAAUCUCAGACAAACGGAAGAGCUUAAAGUUUUUAAGCUCACACCACCAUCAAUUCAGAGGGGAACGCUUCGUUUCAACUAUACUCUAUCUUGUUUCUCUACAAGACCUUACAUGUUGCCUCUUUAGGGUUGCCUCUUUAGGGUGGUCAAUGACGUAAGGAUAAGCAUGUAGUGGUGGAGGAAUGUGACGGCGUUAAGGCACGGCGAAAUGUACUUGGUUGUACCGACAGUGGACGACAACCUGGCUAUCACCAGCUCAGCUACAAAGAACCGAUUAGCAGCCUUAAGUUUCACGACUCUUCUUAAAUUGAAGAGCUAGUUGGAGAACCAAGAAAACAAAGAUGAGUCAGUUGAUGAUUCAGGUGAUUCAACAAUGACUGAGAUUGUGUCCGAGCAAAGUGAAAGGUCAAACUCAGUGAGCAUAAUGUGAUUGUCCGACUUGACGAGUAUGUUUUUCAAUUUUAAAUCUUUGUGAUGAUUCCUAACAUGUAAAGAUACUCUAAGACUAUUAGAACUUCGACGAAUUAAAUUAUGUAAAUACAAAUAUGCAUGAAAAUCAAAUGAAAACAAAUUUUAUUGGAGUUGUUUAUGUUGGAAUUAUUUUACCAGGAUCUAGAUUUACUACCAAGUAUGUUUGAUUAACAUCCUAAUAUGAAUUCUAAAACAAUGAAAUAAACACAUAAGAGUUUAAGAAAACUUUACAUUGGGUGCAGCGGAAUAUAAUGACUCUUUCCAUUCAGAUCUCUAGCCCUUGAUUCCUUUCUGUAGCAAAGCAUAAUCAAGAUCUGAAUUUGGAUCUCCUUCUCUCCUUCUUUGAUGCUGAUUUUUCACAGUCUUACAUACUAUGAUUAAGGUACCACUUGAUGUGUGUGCUCCUAAUAUCAAUACCUCAAUCAUAGUGAGGAAGAUCGUGAAGAAAGAUCAUCAGCAAAGGAGAUUCAGCAUCAAGGAUUCAGAGAAAGAGAUCCAGGUUCAGAUCUUGAUAAUACUCUGCUACAGAAAGGAUUCAAGGGUUAGAGAUCUGAACGGAAUGAGUCAUUUAAUUCUGCUGCACCCAAUGUAAGGUUUCUUAAACUUUAUAUGUGUUUAAUUUAUCGUUUUAGAAAGUUCUUAUUUAGGAUGUUAAUAAACAUACUUGUGAGUAGA